GGUUCUAUGGUGUAAAUGUUAGCACUCUGGACUCUGAAUCUAGUGAACUGAGUUCGUAUCUCGGUAGGACCU
rnacentral:tRNA from 1 species